CCUACGGGCGGCAGCAGUGGGGAAUAUUGCACAAUGGGCGCAAGCCUGAUGCAGCCAUGCCGCGUGUAUGAAGAAGGCCUUCGGGUUGUAAAGUACUUUCAGCGGGGAGGAAGGUGUUGAGGUUAAUAACCUCAGCAAUUGACGUUACCCGCAGAAGAAGCACCGGCUAACUCCGUCCCAGCAGCCGCGGUAAUACGGAGGGUGCAAGCGGUAUUCGGAAUUACUGGGCGUAAAGCGCCGGCAGGCGGUUGGUUAAGUCAGAGGUGAAAGCCCCGGGAUCACCCGGGGAACUGCAUUUGAAACUGGCAAGCUGGAGUCUCGUAGAGGGGGGUAGAAUUCCAGGUGUAGCGGUGAAAUGCGUAGAGAUCUGGAGGAAUACCGGUGGCGAAGGCGGCCCCCUGGACGAAGACUGACGCUCAGGUGCGAAAGCGUGGGGAGCAAACAGGAUUAGAUACCCGUGUAGUC
rnacentral:rRNA from 1 species